rnacentral:rRNA from 1 species
UACGUAGGGUGCAAGCGUUAAUCGGAAUUACUGGGCGUAAAGCGUGCGCAGGCGGUUUUGUAAGUCUGACGUGAAAUCCCCGGGCUCAACCUGGGAAUUGCGUUGGAGACUGCAAGGCUGGAGUCUGGCAGAGGGGGGUAGAAUUCCACGUGUAGCAGUGAAAUGCGUAGAGAUGUGGAGGAACACCGAUGGCGAAGGCAGCCCCCCUGGGUCAAGACUGACGCUCAUGCACGAAAGCGUGGGGAGCAAACAGG